CCACUCACGUGGGUUAGGUACGCCAUUGCAUUUACCGCCGAGUUUUUGUCUGCUGCGGACGUGUUGAACGUUUGGACCAUACAUUUCAGUUUUCAAAUGUCUGUGUUUGCAAAUUCCAAGAAGACUCAAAUUGUGCAGAACUGAAGCCAUUUCCUCUUUACACCUGUACAAUGUUGUUUGUUUCACGGACCGCCACUUUCAUUUUCUGAGCUGUUAGGCCUAAAGCCAGCACAAAACGGCACCGUUUACAGUCGGUUAACAGAUUUAACACACAUUACCGAUGAAACGAGAAUUCCCACAAGAUGUUUAGCUUCUCAAGAUAAAUUGUGCACACUGUAAAGAAAGGCAAGUCUUUAAUUUGAUAUGACCUGCUCCAUCAAAAUCAAACUCUGUAUUGAAAGAUGAACAACAAUUCAUCCACUGCUGUCAGAAUAAAUUUGAGUGCUGCCAACAAGAGAGUUACUUAAACAUGUCUGAAUGAAUGAAAAUUUGACAAAGUGCAGUUAAAAAGAGUUCUGCAUCAAAUUUCCAUCAAAUGAAAUGUAACAAUGCGGCAGCGAAACCGUUCUAUACAGAUUUCUGCUUGAACAUGUGACAAAGUGGAGUAAUACAGUGUUCCAUCCACAUUGGUGUACUUUAGCAUUAACUAAAUGGAGUCAGAGGCCGCCUCACUUUCAAAGUCAGUCGGAUGCUUGAGAAUGUAGAAAAAAAAAGCCUCUCUCAGCAUGGGUGUCCCAGACCAUUUUGCAUGGAGGGGUGCCACAUCAAAAUUGUCACGCAAAAUGAGUGUUCUGUAGUCUGAACCCUAGCGCGACACCUACCUGAUGUUUAUUUUGCCUACAGAUCAUAACUUUGCCCACAAAACUAACCUCUAACGAUGGCCUUGACUCUAAGUGUCAUCACCAUUGUACAAACUUGUUCAGGAUGAACUUUGUGGCAUUUCUUUCCUGCCGCUAAUGCAUUUUGUGGUUUUGAUGGAGCAGGGCGUAAGAUAAUUCCUCAAAAAGACAUAGCAUUGAAAAUCAGUGUUUUAAUAGUGUGUUUGAAAGAACAGUUCCACAUCUUGCCACUGCACAUUCACUCCACAAUACAGCUACUUUCUCUUAGUCUUCACUGGUGUUUUCAUUGAGAGUGACACGUUAGAAAUCAGUGGGAAAGAUGAUUUCAGGCCAUUCUUUAGGGGUACAUAACUUGGCAUCCAGUUUUUAAAAUUCUUUCCUCACCAAAGACCCCAUCAGAAAACAAGCGAAACAAAAUAAACCAGAAUAAAAAUAUCCUUUUUAAUAUUUUUCAAGUACAAUCAAAGUAACUUGAAAUUUUGCUGGCCAGAUUUGGAGUUUCUCAUUCUGCUGUUCUUUCAAUCUGUUGCUGAAGUAACAUAGCCUACAAGUAGCAUAAAUCUGCCUUGUUUAAAAAUCCAGUUGUUUCCGGCUGUCUUUCUUCAAGAGUCUUUUUUGAUAAUAUCCCAGAACUCUAGCUCAAAUGUUUUUGCCGAGAUUGAAUGAUGAGAUACUUAUUCAUCUCUAUUCUCUUACUAUUGAUCCUCAGUAUCAAUAAGAGCAUUUUCACUGAUGAGAGCAGUCAGCAUAGUGUAUAAUUUCAAAGAUACUGUUCUGUUGACCAGAGAUGCUUAAAUAUCCACAUUGGUUUUCGAACAGAUGUAUUGAAUUGAUAUAUGUCGGAGGGAAACCACCCCCCAAAAAUAUGGUAUCAGUUUUCUUUCAUGAUGUGGCUUUCAUUUUACUUUGCUCAUGCAAAAAUCUUUGAGACUCCAAAUGACUAGAAGAUCUCUUUUUUACAAUUGGCAAUGCUGCAUUUUCCCAUGUAAACAAGCUUCACAUCUGAAGACUAGUUAAGUUCCUUUUUUUUACGUGUCAGCUGUCCAGUGUGCUUUGGGUAGGACCGGAAAAUUUAGAAAGAUUGAAAGAUUUUUUUGAAAGGCACGGACCAAUUUCUCUGCAGUUUUUACUCCUUGAAAAUGAUUUUCAUACAUGUACCUUUAGUACACAAGUCAGUCUUACUUUUCACCCUCCCCCGUACCAUUGAAAUCAUGCAUAUGCUUGUUGGACUCAGAACGGUUAGGUUUAACCCUUUUUUGUCUAAAAGGUGAGAAGUGUUUUUAUUUGGAACUUCCAAUUAGAUUUGACAUUCAAAAUUGACCGAGCUCAACUAUACCGUCGAAUAGCUUCCGCUGAAUAAAAGGAAAGAGUUCCAUACACAGACAUCACUGAAUACCCUUUGCACAAACCUUUGAGACUGGUCUGAAAAAUUCUAAGUAAAUGCUUCAAUAUUUUUCCAGUUAAAUGUGACCUUUUAAGAUGUGUUAUUGCUUUGUGAUGGUUCAUAAACAACCGCAGGGGAAAACAACUGAUGUCUGCAUAUGGAACUCUUUCCAAAUGAUGAACCAUGAUUGCUUCCUGAUGUCUCGCGUUUGUACAGUUAGUGGGUAGUUUUCAAGUAUUUUCUAACAAAAUUGAAACUACUUUUGAAUUCCAAGUGUAGGGCCUAAACAUUUUUAAAUGAAUGACUAUUACUGAUCAUUGGACCGGCUUUUUUUCUGUAACCUGCAAUAAAUAGACCAACCCAAAAUAUAGUUGCUCCCUAGUGCUAUGCAAAAUGCCAGACAAGGUGGGACGAUUUUCAUAUUUUCAUGUACAUUUAAUGAUACUGUAAUACUAAAAAUUUGUCCAGUGAUUUCCAAGGUGGCAAGUAAUCACACUUCGAUUAAGUGGAAGAAUAUUGGUAUUCAGAUAACAAUCUUUAGGCGUUAUUUUUGAAUAGUAAUAAAUUGUACAUAUGUAGAAAGAAAAUGUGCAGAUCCAGGUGCCAGUAGGUUUUUAAAAAAUAUUUUCUUUUUCAUCUGGAAAAGAUUAGGUUCUGUGUGAUGUACUUGGUUGGGAUAUGUAUAAGUUAACCCUAACCUUCCCCAACCACGCAGAAUUAAACAGUAGUAAAGUGUUUAAUUCUGUAGGGAUAGGUCUGGUAGGUCCAUAACAGCUAGCUUUUGCAUUGGAUUUGGCAUACCUCAGAAAAACAAAGUCCAACAGCCUCCAUAUAUUGGUGUUUAACUUUGUGUGAUUGGGGAAGGUUAGGGCCAGCAGCCCUUUGGGGGUUAGGGUUAAUGUAUAGUUUUUAAGUUUAUAAAGAGCUUGUGAUUUUGUAAAGAUCAGUGCUUCCGUCUUGGCCAAUUUGGACAAGUCCUAGGCAAAUUUGUAUUUCUGUAAAUUAAUAAAGUGUUAAAAUUGUAGCAAAUGUGCUGCGGAAUUUAAGUAUGGUACAGCUACUUUCCUUGUCAAAAAACUUCCAAUGGCCUCCACCGUGUGACAAGCCAAGGUCUAGGACAUUGCCUUGAUAAAGAACAGAAACACUUGUGAAAUUCACCUGUGGUAUUGAGGAUCGAUACAAAGUCUGCUUACAGUAUGGGUAGCCAGAUCAGGAAGUGCGGACCAGCCCCACCUAGUGGUAUGCUGGCCUUAAUGCACCUGCUUGGUGAGAAUACUGUCUAUCUGCAAAUUGGGUUAGAAAUGUUUGUCAUUCUUGGCUUUGCUCACAAGAUAAUGUCAGAAUUGGAAGUGUCCUGAUGAGAAUUAGUUGUUUUUUUGUACAUGUGACUGGUAUCCAUUUUAGCAUCUUGAUAACAGUGGACAAUAUUUGGCUCAUUGAUCACAAUGCAAGAUUCUCUUAAAGGCUUUUUCCUCCACAGCUGCUCUGGGGACUUGUCACUCAUUUUGUCAGGUUGGGUUACAUAUUAAGUUUCCUUAAAAUUUAAAUUUGAAAUUGGUUAUGGGGUAAGUUUUUUAAACAGGUCAUAUUUUUUAAACGCUCAACAAGGGAGCGGCAUUUUGAAAAAUUUCCCGAAGUAGCAAUAUAAACUGAUGAUGAUACUGUUUAAAUUAUGGCAGCUUUGAUUGCUGUGUGAGGGAUAAAUUUGUGAACUCUAAUGCAGAUCAAAAUUAAUGCUCUCAAGCUCUACUUUGGCUGCAGACAAAAAGUUACAGCUUUCUUGAGAAAGCUGUUUUGUUAGAAAAAAAUUGAAAUUGAAAUUUUUAAGAUCUAAGCAUUAAGUGACUUUGGGUAUUAGGACAAUAAGUUGGUCUGCUACACAAAGUUGUUGGAAAGAUUUUACUUUGGCAACCCUGUCUGGGAGAAAGCUAUCUCAUCGUCAUGACUGGUAUGCACCAAUCACUGAACAAGUGAUUUGGUACAAACAUGGUGUGGCCUAGAAAUUGUGACUUGUGCACUGUGAAUUUGUGUAGGUAUCAAGAUAAAAUCUUUCCACUGGAAGAAAAAAAGCAAAAUAGAAGAGUUUUAAAAACCAGAAAAAGAAAGUGCACAAGGCCCUUGAUUAUCACAAAUUAUGAGACGAUAUUCAGAUUUUUGAGACGUUUGCUGUUUUAUGAAUAUCUCGAGUCUCCAUCAGGCUUGUCUUAGCGUCAUUGCAGGCACAUAGUAAGUAGUUUGUGGCAAUGUAGUACACUUGGCUGAUGUAAGUUUUGUGGCGAUGGCCGUGGAAUAUACAUCAGCAUAUACAUGUAAUCAGUCUACACAAAGUUCCCUGGCCGCAAAGCUGUGUGCAGGUGUGAGAGAAGUGCUUUUGAUCAUGAUCCUGCCAUCUUGGCAUAUUUUUUGAAGGCAUCUAGUGAGUGGUCUAGUCUCUAGUGUGGCCGACCUAGGUUCUCGUGGUGAUGGCCAUGGGUCUGUAGGUCACCACACACAGCCAUCCAACAUAGGUUUUGUGGCGAUGGUCGUGGAAUGUAUGUUGGUGUAAUGACCGUAGUCUACGAGCCAGAUAUGGUUAAAUUGCUGAACUUGUCAGCAAUACAGAGGGGUCAUUCAGCAGCUUGUGACAGGCCAUCCAGCAUCAAAUGCCUUUGUGAAAGGUCCUCUCAAUUUGCUCUGCAAACUUGGAGAGGGUUACCUGUGACAAUUUAUCCACACUAGCAUCUUGUCAGCUCACUGCAGAAAGGGGUCUUGUAACUUAAAACAGUUCCAAUUUAUCACAGCAACGUCCUUGUGCAGUUUCUCAGUCUCUAAUUGACAGUCCAAAUGCAAAAGCAGAUAAGUCUUUUUUCAAAUGACUAUCAUCCAAGUAAAAACUCGUCUUUUGAGCAGUUUGAAUUUAUUUUGAAUCAAAAUUAAAUGCAAUUUCUUAUAAUGAGCACUCCAUUUGUAUUCGUUCAUAAAGCUGACUGUUCUUUCUAACCAAUAUUUUUCUCAAAAAGUAUUCAUUGAAUGUCUUGUGUUUGCAUUUGAACUCUUCAAAAGUGCUGAUAGAAUAAUUUGCAGGCCAACUUGUGCACCUGGUUUCUGAAUUUGUUACCUACAAGGAAAUAUGAGAUGGGGCUGUUAAGCUCAAUUAAGAACUUUGUUUCAUCAGUUCAUCAAUGAAAACCAACUUGUUUUAAGGGGCAAGAAUUAUGUAGGUGGGUGGUCAUUUUUUUUAUACGUAAAUUAGGAUUCAUUAUUAUCGUCGGUUGCAGCUGUGUGGUUUGUUGUAACGACUCUGUCCAUCUUUUCUUGAUUUCUGUUUUGGAUUCUCGUGGGAACCCCAUUCUUCUUGGAAAAGCCUCACAUCAGGGUGUCAGCUAUGCUGGCGGAGUCUGGGGCCAGUCCCACAUUGUCUUUACCUUUUAACCCUAACACCUCUCAGUCCUCCGACCGGUGAAGGAUUGAGGAGUGUUAGGGUUAAAAAUUCAUUUCUCAGCUCAAGCAGUCAUUGAUAGCUUGAUCUACCGUAUAUUGAACUCUAUAUGUUCAUUUAUCCAGUGUCUAGCUUUUUUCUAAGUUUGUAACAGCAACAAUAUUUGGUCAUGCGGUACCAUUUGUGUAAAAAUCACACAGCUGCAAAACAAUAGUUAUUCCAGUCUCAUUUUGUUUUUAAUUCGAUAACUCGCAAGUACACCUAACAUUGUUGCCUUUUUUCAGUCUUUUGAAUCUUCCAAAUUUCUGACCAAAAUUAUAGUGUAGCUAAGUAGUUGUUUGAGAACAUUGUUGAAUGUUGUACAGCUUCAAUAUUUUUGCAAAAAUUAGACUGGAAUAGCCCAAUGCAUGGAACUGUAAAAUGUAAGAAAGAGGGAAAUAAGUUAGGCCAACAGUACCUCAGCCUGCUUUUAAAAGCCAGUUUCCAACCUCAAACUUGUAUUGCCACAUUUGACUAUUAAAAUGAAUUAAUCUGGUUGAUUAGGAAGCAUGACUGAAUGGAAUAUUAAACAGGAUUUCAUGCACCGGAAAGAAAGUUGAAAAAUAAUCUUUUCUUGCCGGGAUACUUUGUUGGACAAUGACAUAACUUUUCCCCCAGUGGCAAAGUUUUUAGGAGGCUGGGAUAUAUAUUGUAUUGCAAGGCCUUGUAGACUCAUUAAUGUGAGGUGGAGGUGGGUUCAUUUUUGCUAUUUAGACAUCUAGGCUGGUAAAAACCAGGAGCAACAUGCAUGAUUCUGGACAAACUGUCUUUGACCUUGCUUUAAAAAAGGACAUUUUUGGAAAGCUUGAUUGUGUUGUGAUAGCAUCAGUAGAAAAUCAUGUUUCCACCUCCUAUAGGAGCAUCUCUUAUAGAAACAUAUCUAGUUUGUUCAAUUUCGGGUCCAAUUUUUCCAACCCCCCCACCCUGUGCACAUGUAUGUGGUUACAGCUAACUCUAUGAAUAAAAACAAGUAUGCAGCAUUGCUAGUUUACUUGCUCUGGUUACAACUUUGAUGAGCAAGAAAAUAUAAAAUAAUUGGGCUGAUUAAAGUAUUGAACGCUACUGAAUCAACUCGACUCAACUCAUCAGUAUUGAUUGUGACUAACCCUGAAAACAAUUUGGUAAGCAUGAUCUGGGGACUGCCACAUCGUGUACUGCAAACAAAACCUAGUUCAAAGCAAGGUGGGGUGGUGGAGAAGAGUGUUUACACCCCUCCCUCAAUUCACCCAUUAGCAGGUUAAUCAAUUUAACGAGCAGUGAGAAAACACCAUCAAACUGGAUUCCUUUUUGCUUUCUGCUCUUCAAAUCUGAAAUAUUGAGAAUGCCGUGACUGGACAAAAAGCUACCGAGAACUUGAUUUUUGACUAAGGCAGAUUUAUAGGUUGGAAAAGUGGCCAAUUUCUUCCCUUCUUUUGAAAGCAAAUGCUACAAAUACGAUCGGGAAUUGGCAGGGUACAGGAUUCUGCUUAUUUCUGAGCAAAAAACCCAAAACAUCUUUGGUUUAAACGUUAUUAAUGGAUUGCUGUUGGGGAUUAACUUCUGAGGUGAGGCAGAUAAACAAGAUUGGAGUAUACAGGGUGGUCAAGUUUUCCUGCGCUGUUUACAGCAACUAAAAAGUCGCAUGAAAAAUUGAGAGGCCAUGAGACUAUUUGGUCUUAUCCUAAAUAACUUGAUAAAGUGAUUUCAGCCUUGGCAUGAAUAAGAAUUGUUCCUGUUUUGGAGACUAAAAGUUACAUUUUCGAAACUAACUUGUGGGCAACCGAACUGCCCUUCUAAUCUCUUUUCUAAGACUUGCUCAAAAGAAUCUUUUUCGGGCCACCCUGAUUCUGUUGCCUUACUUUCAAAUCAGAGCAAAUACAAUGUAAGAAUGUAUCCUGUACCCUGCCGUAAUGAAAUUGCAUUAAAAGAAACUAAUUCAAGAUUUGUGUGUUUUCUCUGCAUAAAAAAACUGGCAAGCUUUGGGAGACAAGGAUCCACAGAUGCAGAACUCCCUGACUGAUGUCUCAUUCUGAUGCCAACCUGAUGAGCUCUCGUCUUUGCAACUUGGACGGACUUGUCUCAGAAAAAAGGCAAAUCAAUGGCAGUGGGGCAGAUGUCAUUAGAUUAACCAAAUUGCUGUUGAGAAUACAGAAGUUUACUCGCGACUGGCACAUCAAACUUUAAUGCUGAAGUUUUUGUAUCCAGAAAAAACAGGCCGAAUUAAACAAACUUUUUUGUGUUCAGUCGAGACAGUCAACAAUCUAAUCUAGUCCAAAACCUGUAUGCUCAGCUGCUCUGCCAUGGAUUUGCCCAAAAAUUGAUACUCAAAACAUUUUUUCAAGAACCAGGUACAUGUCGAUGAUAAAAAAACAAACAAGUCAACUUUUACACCGAGUUCAAGCAUAAAAACAAGUUGGAACUUGGCUUGUGUUCUGAUAGCCAGUUAACAUUUGAUUUUCUUUACCCAAAACGCUGCUGGGGGCGGUUUUUUUUUUACCCACAAAUUCUUCAACCUUGCAACUGCACUUUGACCCAACAAAGCAUGAGGCAUCGGUACAUCAACCGUGGAAAUGAAAAAUACAUUCUGAAACGAGUGUACGCGUCCUUCGUGGAACAAAUAAGAAUUAUGCGUUUACACGUCAUCCGGUGUCAAGUGGUUAACCACCGAACAAAAUUAGCCAAAAUAAUUACAAAACACUGCUUUUGAAAGAUCACGCUGCAAAAAGAAAAGGUGUGAAAUACCGACAUGUGCCUGGUGUUAUCCUAUUGCAGUCCUUGUGUGUAAGUUUGUCUACACUAGCACAUCGCAUUGAAACUUGUACUCAGUAUUUUUCACUGGUAUUUAUUCUAACCAAAAGCUUAUUUAAAGCAUGUUAUUUAACUUGAGAAAUCCAAUUGGUCAACUUGGCAUUUUCCAUCGAAACAAUAACUCUAGUACUCAGCUUUUUUCCCUUUGGGUUUUUGCCAUCCAAAUGGUGAGAGAAAAAAUUUUAACCAAUGUGAUAAAAUUUCCUUUUUUUGGUGAAAUGUUUUGUAAUUUGACAGAACAAUACUUAAAUAAAAUUACAUGCACCAGAGAGGAUUGAAAAAUACGUAAAAAGUUCAUGUAUUUUGGUUAUUGGCACAUGUAAAUAUUUAGUAUGUGGUGUGCUAGUGUAGUGAAUAAAACAAAACCUUGUUUAAUGUUGUGUAAUUUCAUUUCAAAGUAUCGGCUGUCUAUUUUGCAAGAAAUUAUCAAGAAAAAAAUCUUUGGCAUAGAUUUGUGUACUGUAUGAUGUGCUAGUGUAGAUUUGUGCAAACAUUUAGCUGAAUAAAGUGUAGGUUGUCGCUGUUGUGUGAUUUUAUUUCAUAAGUACAUCUGCUGUCUAUUAUUAGACUUCGCAACUUGGACUUUUACAC